AUUGAACGCUGGCGGCAUGCUUUACACAUGCAAGUCGAACGGCAGCGCGGGCUUCGGCCUGGCGGCGAGUGGCGAACGGGUGAGUAAUACAUCGGAACGUGCCCAGGAGUGGGGGAUAGCUCGGCGAAAGCCGGAUUAAUACCGCAUACGACCUGAGGGUGAAAGCGGGGGAUCUUCGGACCUCGCGCUAUUGGAGCGGCCGAUGGCAGAUUAGCUAGUUGGUGGGGUAAAGGCCUACCAAGGCGACGAUCUGUAGCUGGUCUGAGAGGACGACCAGCCACACUGGGACUGAGACACGGCCCAGACUCCUACGGGAGGCAGCAGUGGGGAAUUUUGGACAGAGGGCGAAAGCCUGAUCCAGCAAUGCCGCGUGUGUGAUGAAGGCCUUCGGGUUGUAAAGCACUUUUGGCGGGAACGAAAAGGACUGUGCCAAUACCACGGUUGGAUGACGGUACCCGCAGAAUAAGCACCGGCUAACUACGUG
rnacentral:rRNA from 1 species